rnacentral:rRNA from 1 species
AGCCCCCUUGCCUGCUGCUACACAUGCAGUCGAACGCUGAAGCCAGAAGCUUGCUUCUGGUGGAUGAGUGGCGAACGGGUGAGUAACACGUGAGUAACCUGCCCCUGAUUUCGGGAUAAGCCUGGGAAACCGGGUCUAAUACCGGAUACGACCAACCCUCGCAUGAGGGUUGGUGGAAAGUUUUUCGAUCGGGGAUGGGCUCGCGGCCUAUCAGCUUGUUGGUGGGGUAAUGGCCUACCAAGGCGACGACGGGUAGCCGGCCUGAGAGGGCGACCGGCCACACUGGGACUGAGACACGGCCCAGACUCCUACGGGAGGCAGCAGUGGGGAAUAUUGCACAAUGGGGGAAACCCUGAUGCAGCGACGCAGCGUGCGGGAUGACGGCCUUCGGGUUGUAAACCGCUUUCAGCAGGGAAGAAGCGAAAGUGACGGUACCUGCAGAAGAAGUACCGGCUAACUACGUGCCAGCAGCCGCGGUAAUACGUAGGGUACGAGCGUUGUCCGGAAUUAUUGGGCGUAAAGAGCUCGUAGGUGGUUGGUCACGUCUGCUGUGGAAACGCAACGCUUAACGUUGCGCGUGCAGUGGGUACGGGCUGACUAGAGUGCAGUAGGGGAGUCUGGAAUUCCUGGUGUAGCGGUGAAAUGCGCAGAUAUCAGGAGGAACACCGGUGGCGAAGGCGGGACUCUGGGCUGUAACUGACACUGAGGAGCGAAAGCAUGGGGAGCGAACAGGAUUAGAUACCCUGGUAGUCCAUGCCGUAAACGUUGGGCACUAGGUGUGGGGGACAUUCCACGUUCUC